AUACGGAGGAUCCGAGCGUUAUCCGGAUUUAUUGGGUUUAAAGGGAGCGUAGGUGGAUUGUUAAGUCAGUUGUGAAAGUUUGCGGCUCAACCGUAAAAUUGCAGUUGAAACUGGCAGUCUUGAGUACAGUAGAGGUGGGCGGAAUUCGUGGUGUAGCGGUGAAAUGCUUAGAUAUCACGAAGAACUCCGAUUGCGAAGGCAGCUCACUAGACUGUUACUGACACUGAUGCUCGAAAGUGUGGGUAUCAAACACGAUUAGAUACCCUGGUAGUCCACACAGUAAACGAUGAAUACUCGCUGUUUGCGAUAUACAGUAAGCGGCCAAGCGAAAGCAUUAAGUAUUCCACCUGGGGAGUACGCCGGCAACGGUGAAACUCAAAGGAAUUGACGGGG
rnacentral:rRNA from 1 species